GACGAACGCUGGCGGCGUGCCUAAUACAUGCAAGUAGAACGCACAGUUUAUACCGUAGCUUGCUACACCAUAAACUGUGAGUUGCGAACGGGUGAGUAACGCGUAGGUAACCUGCCUGGUAGCGGGGGAUAACUAUUGGAAACGAUAGCUAAUACCGCGUAAUAUUGAUUAUUGCAUGAUAAUUGAUUGAAAGAUGCUAUUGCAUCACUACCAGAUGGACCUGCGUUGUAUUAGCUAGUAGGUGAGGUAACGGCUCACCUAGGCGACAAUACAUAGCCGACCUGAGAGGGUGAUCGGCCACACUGGGACUGAGACACGGCCCAGACUCCUACGGGAGGCAGCAGUAGGGAAUCUUCGGCAAUGGACGAAAGUCUGACCGAGCAACGCCGCGUGAGUGAAGAAGGUUUUCGGAUCGUAAAGCUCUGUUGUAAGAGAAGAACGGGUGUGAGAGUGGAAAGUUCACACUGUGACGGUAUCUUACCAGAAAGGGACGGCUAACUACGUG
rnacentral:rRNA from 1 species